GAAUAUUCUUAGGUUGUCAAAAGGCAGCUGUUAAAAUCAUAUCUUAAGCUGUUUCACACUCUGAUCAUCAGGUUGUUCUCUGGAGCUCAGUGGUUCUUGGUGGUGUCCCACUCUCACGUAACCACUUCCCCUCGUUUUUGUCUGCUGACUCUCUCAGUUCAAUCAUAAAAACUUGAAAUGCUGAAGAAAGAGUAAGAGGUUCAUUUCUACCUUCUGCCAUGGAGAUUUUUCAAACCAGGAUCCUGCAUCUGAAUUUGUGUGUGAUGAUUACUUUACUGACCAAUGCAGAUUAUUCCAAAUCUAAUCAAGAGCAAAGGAUUCAGCAGCACAUCAACAAGACAGUGUUUGUGGGGGAAACAGUUACACUUCACUGCAACAAAACCGAGUUUGAUGAGGAUUUCAUAUGGAAAAUGAACAAUUCUUUUAUUUUUAGUCUUGACUAUUACAGUAACAGAACAAUGAGAAACUUCAGCUCAAACAGGAUUCACAUCGACUCCACAGCUCCAAGAGAAUUAACAAUACAUCAAAUACAAGCGUCUGAUGCAGGAAACUACACCUGUUACCCAGCAGCAAUAAGAUGGACAUUAACAACAACAGCCAGUGACUAGUAUCUAGUGGAGUACUGGUGGACUGAUGUGUGUUUGACUGUGGUAUCUGUCAGAAAACCAGAUCAGACCAAAGUCACCCAAAGAAAUGCCGCUGCACAUAAUUAUCAUCAUCAUCUCAUGUUGUGGAGUCAUUGUGAUCUGUCUGAUCAUCACCAUCAGCAUCUGCAUUCACAGGAGAUGGAAAAACAGCAAAGAUUCAAGUCAGAGAGAAGCAGGACAGGACUUUUCCCAGGCACCAGUCAGAGGAAGGAUUCAGACUCACAACAGUCAGUACUUUGAGAGAUACAACUCAGUAUAUGGACAAAUAUGAUGUAAUUUAUUAUUAGGCUAACUCUUUACAAUAACAGUACAUGAAUAAUCAUACUAAUACAAAUAUUAAAUGUAACUUUAAAGGGGUCCUAUUAUGCUAUUUCACUUUUUCAACUUUAGUUAGUCUGUAAUGUUGCUGUUUGAGCAUAAAAAUAUCUCCAAAGUUACAAAGCUCAA